rnacentral:rRNA from 1 species
GACGAACGCUGGCGGCGUGCUUAACACAUGCAAGUCGAACGAAGAGCGACGGAAGCUUGCUUCUAUCAAUCUUAGUGGCGAACGGGUGAGUAACGCGUAAUCAACCUGCCCUUCAGAGGGGGACAACAGUUGGAAACGACUGCUAAUACCGCAUACGAUCUAAUCUCGGCAUCGAGGAUGGAUGAAAGGUGGCCUCUACAUGUAAGCUAUCACUGAAGGAGGGGAUUGCGUCUGAUUAGCUAGUUGGAGGGGUAACGGCCCACCAAGGCGAUGAUCAGUAGCCGGUCUGAGAGGAUGAACGGCCACAUUGGGACUGAGACACGGCCCAGACUCCUACGGGAGGCAGCAGUGGGGAAUCUUCCGCAAUGGACGAAAGUCUGACGGAGCAACGCCGCGUGAGUGAUGACGGCCUUCGGGUUGUAAAGCUCUGUUAAUCGGGACGAAAGGCCUUCUUGCGAAUAGUGAGAAGGA